rnacentral:lncRNA from 1 species
GUAAAAGAAAAAAAAUAAAAAACACUCAAAGGUCCUCUGGUGCUCUGCUAGGGUUUUGCCCCUAGCAUCAUCGCGCCGCCGCUCAAUCGGCCCUCUCACCAAAACUCCGAUCACGACGGAGAUGGCGGUGGCAUGGCGUUUUCAGGUAAGUUUCCCUCCCUUUUUUUUAUCUUAAAUGAAAUAAAAUGAAAAUAAAGGAAAAAAAUAAAAAAAAUGUAAACAAAAACGACGGUAACCGCAAAGAAAACUAAAGAAUCACCUUAAUAAAACUCUUAUUUUCUGUUUUUCUUUCUAUUUCUUUUUGUCUAUUUCUCUGCCUAUUCAUUAUCCGUCCAUUUUUACAGAUUUUCUAAGGCUUUUAUAGCCCGCAAGAACACGUUGUUUUUGUUUUACAAUAUUGGGACUCUUUUAGUCCGUUUUUACAGGUGGUUAUAGAGAGCACGGCGCGAGGAAGAGGGCUGGUUCCGAAACGUGCGGCGUCUGGGCGUUGGGCGUGACGUGCAAGGGGGCUGCUGCGGCAUUAGACUUGCAGCACUAGGGUUUGGCUGCUUUAAUUGUUGGGCCAUUUAGUUUGUUGGGCCUGUGAAGAGAACUGGGCUACGCCCAAUAAUUUAUUUGUGCGGGCCCAGGCUAAUUGGGUCUGCUACAAUAUUUAUUCUUUGAUUUACUUGUAUAUGUUUAGAAAUUUCUUUCUUUGAUUUAUAUCCAUGUGGGAAUUCAGUUUAUUUUCUCUUCUUUGUAGCACGACAUGCCUCUUUUCCU